GGUGAGGUGCUGGAACAGCUGCCCAGAGAGGCUGUGAUGCCCCGUCCAUCCCUGGAGGUGUUCAAGGCCAGGUUGGAUGGGGCCCUGGGCAGCCUGGGCUGGUAUGAAACGUGGAGGUUGGUGGCCCUGUGUGUGGCAGGGGGUUGGAGCUUCGUGAUCCUUGAGGUCCCUUCCAACCCUGGCCAUUCUGUGAUUCUGUCUCUCUGUGAAGCAGUUCAGCCCACGGACCCUGCAGAAAAUGUUUUUCUGCCAGCCUGUUUUCAUGAACAUUAUUUGUUCACUUGGCUUGUCCAGUUUUGUGGCACAGUUCCCCUGGUGCCACUGCUUUCCCUGGUCACCUGUUUGUUUAUCAGUGUAUGGAGUUUUCAAAAGACCUGCAAGAGUGAAGAGCCUCCAUCCCAUGGAAAACUUCAGACUUUUUUUGAAGCCCUCAUGGGAAAAAAUAAUUUUCAUUGGUCAGUAAUUCACAACCUUUCAUUUUUGCAUCACGACAUCUUUCCCCAAUACUGUUUGGUGAAAUUAUCUGUUCUUCCAGGUUCUAGAUCUGCACGACAACCAGCUGGCAUCACUUCCUACUGAUAUUAGUCAGCUGACAUCUCUUCAGGUCCUAAAUCUUGAAAGGAAUCUCUUAAAAUGUCUUCCACAAUCUAUAGGGGAUCUUGCCCAGCUCCAGGUCCUCAAUGUGAAAGGCAAUAAGCUGAGGGAGCUGCCUGCCACAGUGAGUGGUCUGAGGAGCCUGCGCACUCUGAAUGUCAGCGAGAACCUCCUGCAGGAGCUGCCGAGGGUGCUGG